GCUGGGUACAGUGGUGCAUGCCUGUGAUCCCAGCGGCUCAGGAGGCUGAGACAGGAGGACUGUGAGUUCAAAACCAGCCUCAGCAAAAUCGAGGCCCUAAGCAACUUAGUGAGACCCUGUCUCUA
rnacentral:sRNA from 1 species